UGUUACUUAUCUUCAGUGGGUCGUGGUCUUGCCGCCAUUUUGGACUUCCUUUUCCCCCAUCCCCUUCUUCUCCACAGCAAUCGAAAGAAGCAGCGAUUGAGCGGAGAGCUCUUCGUGCGCUUUCUUUCCCCUCCUUUCCGUCUUACUUGCGAUCCGUACGGUUAGCAAACUCGAGCUAUGUCCGCCAACAGGAACCUCAAGCAAGUGAGGAUCGAGAACAAUUCUCCGGCGUCGGCACCUCCGAUAAGUAUGGUGGGCGGCGGCCCGAUGAAGGCGCUGAGGGGUUUGGAGAAACCGUCCGAGAACGAAGCUUUGGCCGCCGCGAUGGCGAUGGUGAAGGAGGAAGAGGAGGGAAUCGGCGGAGGCUUUACGGUCGACAUUAAGAGCUUCCUCAAGCCCGGCGAGAAGAGCUAUACGCAAAGGUGCCGCCUCUUCGUCGGGAACCUUCCCACCGACAUCACCGAGGAGGACUUUAAACGCCUUUUUGAGCGCUACGGGGAGCCCAGCGAGGUCUUCAUCAACCGCGACCGCGGCUUCGGCUUCAUCCGCUUGGAAUCCAGGACUCUGGCUGAAAUAGCAAAGGCAGAACUUGAUGGAACAAUUUUAAAGAGCAGGCCACUCCGAAUUCGAUUUGCCACCCAUGGAGCUGCUUUAACAAUUAAGAAUCUUUCACCAGUUGUUUCCAAUGAGCUUUUGGAACAAGCUUUCUCUCAGUUUGGGCCUGUGGAAAGAGCGGUUGUUGUUGUAGAUGAUCGUGGUAGAGCAACAGGCAAAGGUUUUGUGGAAUUUGCUGCAAAGCCUCCAGCGCGUAAAGCUCUAGAAAGAUGUGGUGACGGCGCAUUCUUGCUUACAACAACUCCUAGACCUGUUCUUGUUGAACCUAUGGAACAGUUUGAUGGUGAAGAUGGUUUGCCUGAGAAAUUAAUGCAAAAAACACAACAGUAUCAUAAGGAAAGAGAACAGCCCCCACGUUUUGCCCAACCUGGAACGUUUGAAUUUGAAUAUGCUUCACGAUGGAAAGCUCUUGAUGAAAUGGAAAAACAACAGCGGGAACAAGUUGAUAGAAACAUUAGAGAAGCUAAGGAGAAGCUAGAAGCAGAAAUGGAAGCAGCUCGACAUGAGCAUCAGCUAAUGUUGAUGAGACAAGAUCUUAUGAGGCGUCAGGAAGAACUGAGACGUUUAGAAGAACUUCGAAACCAAGAGCUACAGAAAAGAAAGCAGAUACAAUUAAGGCAUGAAGAAGAGCAUAGGAGACGUGAAGAAGAGAUGCUGCGUCAGAGAGAACAGGAGGAACUGAGGAGACAGCAAGAUGGUUUCAAGCCGAAUUUCAUGGAUGCUAGAGAACAGGAAAUGAGAAUGGGUGAUAUGGGUCCUCGUGGAGCAUUAAACAUGGGAGAUGCCUUUAGCCCAGCACCUGCUGGAAACCAAGGUCCUCCUCCACCUCCAAUGAUGAGUAUGAAUAUGAACAACAGAGGGACAAUGCCUGGCCCUGCAAUGGGGCCAGGUCCUUCGUUGGGGCCAGAAGGAGCGACAAACAUUGGAACCCCAAUGAUGCCAGAUAAUGGAACUGUGGAAGCUGUUAAGAUUCUGAAGUAUGGCUGAAGAUGCAAAAUCACCCAGGAAGGAUGAAUUCUUUAUAUUUCAGGACAGUUGCACCAUGCAGAGUUCAGCAAGCAACUAUGAUCUCUGGGUUGUAUUGACAAAAAGGAGGAAUCCUCUAAGAAUAGCAAUCAUGAACGCGGCCAGGAAUAAAACGAGGACACCAUUAUAAAAUUAUAAAGUUGGAGUACAGCUUCAAAACUUCAUUCAGCUUUUAUUUGAAGAAUCCCUCUUGAAACUUGAGAGUCCUAAGCUACUUGAUCGAAUAUAUUGCUCCUGUGAAACAGAAGGGAGAAACUAUGUCUGCAUAAGAACAAUGCUUGAAU